rnacentral:rRNA from 1 species
AGUGAACGCUGGCGGUAGGCCUAACACAUGCAAGUCGAACGGCAGCACAGAGGAGCUUGCUCCUUGGGUGGCGAGUGGCGGACGGGUGAGGAAUACAUCGGAAUCUACUCUGUCGUGGGGGAUAACGUAGGGAAACUUACGCUAAUACCGCAUACGACAAACGGGUGAAAGCAGGGGAUCUUCGGACCUUGCGCGAUUGAAUGAGCCGAUGUCGGAUUAGCUAGUUGGCGGGGUAAAGGCCCACCAAGGCGACGAUCCGUAGCUGGUCUGAGAGGAUGAUCAGCCACACUGGAACUGAGACACGGUCCAGACUCCUACGGGAGGCAGCAGUGGGGAAUAUUGGACAAUGGGCGCAAGCCUGAUCCAGCCAUACCGCGUGGGUGAAGAAGGCCUUCGGGUUGUAAAGCCCUUUUGUUGGGAAAGAAAUCCAUCUGGUUAAUACCCGGGUGGGAUGACGGUACCCAAAGAAUAAGCACCGGCUAACUUCGUGCCAGCAGCCGCCGUAA